UGGGGAAUUUUGGACAAUGGGCGAAAGCCUGAUCCAGCAAUGCCGCGUGUGUGAAGAAGGCCUUCGGGUUGUAAAGCACUUUUGUCCGGAAAGAAAUCCUUGGCUCUAAUACAGUCGGGGGAUGACGGUACCGGAAGAAUAAGCACCGGCUAACUACGUGCCAGCAGCCGCGGUAAUACGUAGGGUGCAAGCGUUAAUCGGAAUUACUGGGCGUAAAGCGUGCGCAGGCGGUUUGCUAAGACCGAUGUGAAAUCCCCGGGCUCAACCUGGGAACUGCAUUGGUGACUGGCAGGCUAGAGUAUGGCAGAGGGGGGUAGAAUUCCACGUGUAGCAGUGAAAUGCGUAGAGAUGUGGAGGAAUACCGAUGGCGAAGGCAGCCCCCUGGGCCAAAUACUGACGCUCAUGCACGAAAAGCGUGGGGGAGCAAACAGGAUUAGAUACCCCUGGUAGUCCACGCCCUAAACGAUGUCAACUAGUUGUUGGGGAUUCAUUUCCUUAGUAACGUAGCUAACGCGUGAAGUUGACCGCCUGGGGAGUACGGUCGCAAGAUUAAAACUUAAAUGAAUUGACGGGGUCAUAGCUGUUUCC
rnacentral:rRNA from 1 species